UCCCGUGCUUUCUCACAGAAACUAUUGUUCAAAUCUCUACGGAGAUAAGAAAUACAGGUGAUUUUAUCCCAUCUGUCUAAGCCUUGGUAGCCUGAGUAACUCGAUAACUAUGUUGGCGGGAGGUGUCAGGUACCCUAUGAAAUAAUCAAUGUGUGUUAAAACUAACCGAACACCACUACCAUUAGAACAAAUCAAUAGAGUACAAUGGAAAUACAAGUUCACAACACUUUUGUUUCUGAACGUGUACCUCAUAUAAAGAAAUAACAUUCCACAACAAUAACUAUUCCGGGAAAGCAGAAGGAAACUCGAAGACUAGAAGUAUCAGGAUACAACAACAACAACAACCUAGUAUAAUCCCACUUAGUGGGGUCUUGGGAGGGUAGUAUGUACGCAGACCUUACCCCUACCCUGGGGUAGAGAGGCUGUUUCCAAAUAGUACGCAGACCUUACUCCUACCUUGGGGUAGGGAGGCUGUUUCCAAAUAAACCCUCGGCAUCCUUCCCUCCAAGAACUUACCACCUUGAUCUUGGGGAGACUCGAACUCACAACCUCUCGGUUGGAAGUGGAGGCUGCUUACCAUCAGAGCAACCCUGUCUAAAAACAUCUGAAAACAAUUGGCACUGAUCUCAAAUGUGCAGAACUUUCUACUAGCAGAUGCAUACAUGGCAAAGUAUCAGCAGAUUUAGGCAACACGGUCGAUUCACACAUUUCAUUCUUGAGGAUGUAGCAAAACAGAUUAUAGAGGCUCGUCUAACAACAAAAGAUUUUGAUUCCAUGAAACAUGUUUAUUCCAUAGGAUACAAAAGUUAAAAACUAUAUAUUUCUCAUAUACUUAGAACCCUAGGAGAAAGACAAUACAAUAAUGAGGCUUAUUCUAUUGUAACAGAUGAAUAUAGUUAAUUAGAUAGUGACAUGGACUAGAAUCCUCCCACUUUCUGAUUCUGAUGUAACUCUCAAUUCACUAAUAGAGCCCCAAGAAAAAAAUGCUCCCCUCGUUUCAUUUUAUGUAACUUAGUUUGACAACUCUCAAUUCACUAAUAGAGCCCCAGGAAAAAAAUGCUCCCCUCGUUUCAUUUUAUGUAACUUAGUUUGACUACGUAAUAGUUUACAAAAAUAAGAGACUUUUGAAUAGCAUGUAUCAAACUAUAUAUACGUAUACAACAACAACAACAACUACCCAGUAUAGUCCCACAAAGUGAGGUCUGGGGAGGGUAAACGUAGACAAGCCUUACCCCUACCCGAAAGGGCAGAGAGGUUGUUUCCAAGCGACCCCCGGCUCGUGAAGGAAAGGAAAGACAAAAACAAGAGAGCAUUAGUAAUUCCAACAGAAAUAACGUAAAUAAAUAUCUAAACAUAAGAAACAUAAAUAAAAUAACAUGCAAUAAUAUAAUACAGUAACUACCAUAAAUAAACUAUAUAUAC
rnacentral:lncRNA from 1 species